UGGGGAAUAUUGCACAAUGGGCGCAAGCCUGAUGCAGCCAUGCCGCGUGUAUGAAGAAGGCCUUCGGGUUGUAAAGUACUUUCAGUCGGGAGGAAGGUGGUAAGGUUAAUAACCUUGGCAAUUGACGUUACCGACAGAAGAAGCACCGGCUAACUCCGUGCCAGCAGCCGCGGUAAUACGGAGGGUGCAAGCGUUAAUCGGAAUUACUGGGCGUAAAGCGCACGCAGGCGGUUGAUUGAGUCAGAUGUGAAAUCCCCGGGCUUAACCCGGGAAUUGCAUCUGAUACUGGGCAGCUAGAGGCUUGUAGAGGGGGGUAGAAUUCCAUGUGUAGCGGUGAAAUGCGUAGAGAUGUGGAGGAAUACCGGUGGCGAAGGCGGCCCCCUGGACAAAGACUGACGCUCAGGUGCGAAAGCGUGGGGAGCAAACAGG
rnacentral:rRNA from 1 species